AUGGAGCCAAUUUGGGGCUGGGGUGGGUUGAGGCAGCGCCUCGCCGCUGGGUUUUGUCCCCGUGGUGGUGGUUGCGGGGGUUGUUUCAGUUUUGAUGGCGAGUUUUGGGGGGUUGUUGUCUUGUCUGAGGCUGGGGAGGUUUGGGGUGCUGGGGAGGGUGCCCCCGGAGGGGCUGGGGGCAGCAGAGCAGGAGCUGGGGGCAAUGUGUCCUCGCCUCCCCGACCACCAGCAGCCUCCAGCUUUGCCCAGGAUGAGGAAGAGGAGGGUCGGAGCUGCCCCUCACUGCCCCCUGCAUGCCUGGGGGGCAUCGAUGUCCCCCCAAGGCCGGGCUGGCUCCUGGGGUACCCACACCAACAGCGAGGCGCGGGGACGGGUGUCCCCCCCGGGAUGGCUGUGCCAGGAUGGGUGACACCCCGCAGGCACCACGGGGAGGAGAAGGGUGCUCAGGGGGGGCCGUGCUUCGGCCUCGGGGCUUGGCAGAGGAUGGGGGGUGCUGGGGGGGGCCGGUGGCUGCACGCCAGGCUCGGUGGCUCAGGCAGAAGUGAAAACGGAGCAGCUCCAGCGCGCGGCUUCCUCUUGCUCAGCCCCUGCCAAGGUUUGGUUAUCUCCUCCAAGGAUGUUUCCCAACUUCUCGGCGCCUCGGGGCUGAGUGGGGAAGAUAACCCAGCUGCAGCAGCCCCGGUCCUGCCUUCUGUUCUCCCCAAAAAACCCCUUCCUCUCCCUCCGGAGCCUCUGCGUCCGAGCAGGGGGAGCAGGGGACGAGCGCAGCCCCGAAUUUUGGGGCAUCUCCCUGCACAGCUCUGGCUGGGACGUGAGCAGGGGAGCAGCGAGGCUGCCAGCCCGGCCGCUGCGGGAAGGAGACGUAAGCUGCUGACGGGUGCAGCCGCGGCCGAAAGCCGAGUUUCUUUCUUGAGAGCUUCCGCUCCCCGCUCCGACGGCUCGGCAGCGGAGCCCUGCCCGGCAGAGCUGGGGCUGAGCAUGAAAAAUGAGCCCAGUGAGGAGAAGGGAGGGAGAAGCAGGCAGCUUCCCAGGCCUCAGAGCAUCCAAACCCACCACCAAAAAAAAAAAAGAAAAAAAAAAGAAAAAAAAAAGGCAUUGCUGUUUCCUUACAGCACAUUUCAGCAGGAAAUCGAUGCCUCGCGCCCCUGCCUCCUGCCCCGGAGCACUGUCAGCCCCAUGCAGCACAUUUUUCUGCUCCAGAUCUUUUGCAAUCCAGCAGCACGGCCCCCGUCCAUCGCUUUUAUUUGGUGUUCGUGGUGCGGCUCCGUCCCCCUGGGGGCUGUCAGGUCUCCUCUGGGCUCAGGGCGAGGUUUUUGGGGUGAAGCUGCACUGGGGUGCGCUGGGGGGCACCAAGCGAGGCUCACGCCCGGGUGCUGGUGA
rnacentral:lncRNA from 1 species